rnacentral:rRNA from 1 species
GAUGAACGCUGGCGGCGUGCCUAAUACAUGCAAGUCGAGCGAACAGACGAGGAGCUUGCUCCUCUGACGUUAGCGGCGGACGGGUGAGUAACACGUGGAUAACCUACCUAUAAGACUGGGAUAACUUCGGGAAACCGGAGCUAAUACCGGAUAAUAUAUUGAACCGGAUGGUUCAAUAGUGAAAGACGGUUUUGCUGUCACUUAUAGAUGGAUCCGUGCCGCAUUAGCUAGUUGGUAAGGUAACGGCUUACCAAGGCGACGAUGCGUAGCCGACCUGAGAGGAUGAUCGGCCACACUGGAACUGAGACACGGUCCAGACUCCUACGGGAGGCAGCAGUAGGGAAUCUUCCGCAAUGGGCGCAAGCCUGACGGAGCAACGCCGCGUGAGUGAUGAAGGUCUUCGGAUCGUAAAGCUCUGUUAUUAGGGAAGAACAACUGUGUAAUUAUCUACGGACGUCUUGACGGUACCUAAUCAGAAAGCAACGGCUAACUACGUG